rnacentral:rRNA from 1 species
GAUGAACGCUGGCGGCGUGCCUAAUACAUGCAAGUCGAGCGAACAGAUGAGGAGCUUGCUCCUCUGACGUUAGCGGCGGACGGGUGAGUAACACGUGGAUAACCUACCUAUAAGACUGGGAUAACUUCGGGAAACCGGCGCUAAUACCGGAUAAUAUAUUGAACCGCAUGGUUCAAUAGUGAAAGACGGUUUUGCUGUCACUUAUAGAUGGAUCCGCGCCGCAUUAGCUAGUUGGUAAGGUAACGGCUUACCAAGGCAACGAUGCGUAGCCGAACUGAGAGGGUGAUCGGCCACACUGGAACUGAGACACGGUCCAGACUCCUACGGGAGGCAGCAGUAGGGAAUCUUCCGCAAUGGGCGAAAGCCUGACGGAGCAACGCCGCGUGAGUGAUGAAGGUCUUCGGAUCGUAAAACUCUGUUAUUAGGGAAGAACAAAUGUGUAAGUAACUAUGCACGUCUUGACGGUACCUAAUCAGAAAGCCACGGCUAACUACGUG